rnacentral:tRNA from 1 species
GCCGGCGUAGCUCAGUGGCAGAGCAGCUGUUUUGUAAACAGCUUGUCAUCCGUUCGAAUCGGAUCGUCGGCUCCA